AAGCCGCUUCGGUGGUGGAUUAGUGGCGAACGGGUGAGUAACACGUGGGCAAUCUGCCCUUCACUCUGGGACAAGCCCUGGAAACGGGGUCUAAUACCGGAUAAUACUGUCCGCCGCAUGGUGGGUGGUUGAAAGCUCCGGCGGUGAAGGAUGAGCCCGCGGCCUAUCAGCUUGUUGGUGGGGUGAUGGCCUACCAAGGCGACGACGGGUAGCCGGCCUGAGAGGGCGACCGGCCACACUGGGACUGAGACACGGCCCAGACUCCUACGGGAGGCAGCAGUGGGGAAUAUUGCACAAUGGGCGAAAGCCUGAUGCAGCGACGCCGCGUGAGGGAUGACGGCCUUCGGGUUGUAAACCUCUUUCAGCAGGGAAGAAGCGCAAGUGACGGUACCUGCAGAAGAAGCGCCGGCUAACUACGUGCCAGCAGCCGCGGUAAUACGUAGGGCGCAAGCGUUGUCCGGAAUUAUUGGGCGUAAAGAGCUCGUAGGCGGCCAGUCGCGUCGGAUGUGAAAGCCCGGGGCUUAACCCCGGGUCUGCAUUCGAUACGGGCUGGCUAGAGUGUGGUAGGGGAGAUCGGAAUUCCUGGUGUAGCGGUGAAAUGCGCAGAUAUCAGGAGGAACACCGGUGGCGAAGGCGGAUCUCUGGGCCAUUACUGACGCUGAGGAGCGAAAGCG
rnacentral:rRNA from 1 species